UACGUAGGGGGCAAGCGUUGUCCGGAAUUACUGGGCGUAAAGCGUGCGCAGGCGGCUCCUUAAGUCAGAUGUGAAAGCCCCGGGCUUAACCUGGGAACUGCGUUUGAAACUGGGGAGCUAGAGUGUAGAAGAGGGGGGUGGAAUUCCAGGUGUAGCAGUGAAAUGCGUAGAGAUCUGGAGGAACACCGAUGGCGAAGGCAGCCCCCUGGGCUAACACUGACGCUCAUGCACGAAAGCGUGGGGAGCAAACAGG
rnacentral:rRNA from 1 species